GGGGAGAUACCAAAGUGGCCAAAUGGAACAGACUGUAAAUCUGUCGGCUUAGCCUUCGGUGGUUCGAAUCCACCUCUCCCCA
rnacentral:tRNA from 1 species